AUUGAACGCUGGCGGCAGGCCUAACACAUGCAAGUCGAGCGGGGUUUUCGGACCUAGCGGCGGACGGGUGAGUAAUGCGUAGGAAGCUACCCGAUAGAGGGGGAUACCAGUUGGAAACGACUGUUAAUACCGCAUAAUGUCUACGGACCAAAGUGUGGGACCUUCGGGCCACAUGCUAGCGGAUGCGCCUACGUGGGAUUAGCUAGUUGGUGAGGUAAUGGCUCACCAAGGCGACGAUCCCUAGCUGGUUUGAGAGGAUGAUCAGCCACACUGGAACUGAGACACGGUCCAGACUCCUACGGGAGGCAGCAGUGGGGAAUAUUGGACAAUGGGCGCAAGCCUGAUCCAGCCAUGCCGCGUGUGUGAAGAAGGCCUUCGGGUUGUAAAGCACUUUCAGUAGGGAGGAAGCGUUGUGUGUUAAUAGUACACAGCGUUGACAUUACCUACAGAAGAAGCACCGGCUAACUCUGUGCCAGCAGCCGCGGUAAGAC
rnacentral:rRNA from 1 species